GUCUAUGCCAAAUUGAAUGUGCCUGAUCUUGUCUGAUCUCAGAAGCUUGAGUCUGGCUAAUAUGUGAAUAUGAAACCACUUGGGAAUCCUGGUUGCCUUAAACA
rnacentral:rRNA from 1 species